rnacentral:rRNA from 1 species
UACGGAGGAUGCAAGCGUUAUCCGGAUUUAUUGGGUUUAAAGGGUCCGUAGGCGGGCUAAUAAGUCAGUGGUGAAAGUCUGUCGCUUAACGGUAGGAUUGCCAUUGAUACUGUUGGACUUGAAUAUGGAUGAGGUAGGCGGAAUGUGUAGUGUAGCGGUGAAAUGCAUAGAUAUUACACAGAACACCGAUUGCGAAGGCAGCUUACUAAUCCAUCAUUGACGCUGAGGCACGAAAGCGUGGGGAUCAAACAGGAUUA